GUGGGCAUCAAAACCUAACUCCAUCAACUAUCUCCUAAUGUCCCAAACGUCUCUUCCUCCUUUUAUUUUAUUCGCCAUUCCUUUUUUGUACAGAACUUUGCAAAUAUGGCUACAACACUUCAUGAAAUUAGUCAAAUUUUAAGCAAUUCGAUGCAAUGGAAUCUGUAAGUGAGAGUUGUUCGAAUGUGAAAAAUUUCGGAUCGUUUCAAGCCUCAUAUACCAUAUUUCAUAGAGUUAAUUUUGCAAGAUAAAAAGAGGCUUAUUGCACGAUGCUCUUACUCAACUUGCUAACUCUGAUGUGAUUGGUUAGGUUGUGAUCUAUGGAGCUGUUCAGACCUACAAGCAAGGAGAUAACAAAAGUGUCUUUAUGAAUGUUGAACUCGAAGAUGAGCAAUGGCAGCAACACCUGCUGAAUACUACCACCAAAUGCAAGACAAUCAUCUACGUUCAUGAUGAAUCCUUCUUCAACGUCCAUGUUCAUUAGCAGAUGAUACUGCAUGGAUUCCACGAACACAGAUAUGGUUGUUUAAGAGCAACCAAAAUCUUGGCAGAGAUGAGGAACACAUUAGCGCUAAUUGUUGUUCUGUGUAUCAACUCUUCUAAGGAUGGGUCAAGAGAAUAUGAAAAUUUGUGGGUUGCUUUUAAAUCUGAUAUUUCACAUGGCAACCAGUUACGCUGCUUCCUUAGCUCAGAUGACUAGGAUGGGGUAUUUGUUCCUGAACCUUAUAUGACUGAACUUUGAGGUACUUUCGUAGGAUAGCUGGAUAUUAACAUCUUUCUCCUUGAUGUAAGUAAUUAUUUACAUGUGUUGAAUUGAGUAGCUGGAGGAAUUCAUCCAAGAUCUAGCGUCUAAACAUAUUAUUUCUCACAUGGAGCAAAAAUUUGUCUACUCAAUCACCAAGUGCAAGACAAUCAACUACAUUCAUGAUGAAUCCUUCUCCAACAUCCAGGUUCAUUAGGAGAUGAUACUGUAGGGUCUCCACGGACACACAGAGGUGUAAAGAAAAAUUCGUAAAUUUCUCUAUUCAAGGUUUAUUCUCUUCAACUCUUGGAAUGAGGUGACUACUUUUCAAAUGUAAGAGAAGUUUAGGUAGCCACAAUCUGCCAUUUCAGAUUGUCAUUCUAAAUUGUGCAUUGAGCAGUUACAAUUAGUUUUUCCAAAAGCCCUAAAAGGUUAAGGACCUCAUGUUGUGGCAAGUGGUAUUAAGUUAAUAAUCUUGGAGCUUAAA